GACGAACGCUGGCGGCGUGCUUAACACAUGCAAGUCGAACGAUGAAGCUGGAGCUUGCUCCGGUGGAUUAGUGGCGAACGGGUGAGUAACACGUGAGCAAUCUGCCCUUGACUCUGGGAUAACUGCGGGAAACUGUAGCUAAUACCGGAUACUUUCACUGGAAGGCAUCUUCUGGUGAAGAAAGAAUUUCGGUCAAGGAUGAGCUCGCGGCCUAUCAGCUUGUUGGUGAGGUAACGGCUCACCAAGGCAACGACGGGUAGCCGGCCUGAGAGGGUGACCGGCCACACUGGGACUGGGACACGGCCCAGACUCCUACGGGAGGCAGCAGUGGGGAAUAUUGCACAAUGGGCGCAAGCCUGAUGCAGCAACGCCGCGUGAGGGAUGAAGGCCUUCGGGUUGUAAACCUCUUUUAGCAGGGAAGAAGCGAAAGUGACGGUACCUGCAGAAAAAGCACCGGCUAACUACGUGCCAGCAGCCGCGGUAA
rnacentral:rRNA from 1 species